ACUCUAUCAAAAGCAGACAAGAAAGGCCAAUGAGAGAAGCGUCUUACUGGGCCUAAUGCUUCGACCUCCCAAUAAGGAGGUCUUCUUGCCUCAGUCUCCUGGGAUUAAAGGCAUGUACUACCUUGCCUGGGCCCAAGCUUUUCAUGGCCACUGUGCCUCAAGAUCUCCAUGUCAAGAUCCAGGUCAGAAACUUGUGUCUUCCAGCCUCAAGAUCUGGAUCACAGUUCAUUCCAGAUAUCGUCAAGCUGACAAGGAAUAGCCAUCACAGUCCUCCUACCUCUGCUUCUCGAAUGGCGUGGGAUUCCAGAGGUGAGCUAGGCUCUUCUCACCAUGUUCUAUGAGGCUCAAAUCUUUAAUUUCCUGAAGAAAACUCAUCUAAUACUUGACUCAGUAUCCUUCACUUUGUAUAGAAGGCGGAGCUGAUAGCAGAAGUCCUUGGAGAGGAGGGCUAGUGAGGUGACUCAGCAGGUGAAGAUGCUGGCUGCCCUACCAAACUACUAGUCCGUGUGGGACUGUCCUCGGGGCGAUGCGGAAGUGCCUGCACUGCCGGAGGUAAACAAGUUCCUGCCCCCACCGAAACAGGAGCAAACAGGAGGUUCACGUUCCCACCGCUUUGCAACACUGUUUCAGUACCUCCCCUCCCCCUCUUUCCCAGGCGCUAGCUGAUGGAGGCCAACACCAAAGAAUGACCAUCAUCUCCCCCACCAACGCUGGCGAACCUUUCUCUUUUCUCCUGGGUAAUAAUACUGUGUCCCAGGCUUGCUCAGCGGGUGGCCAUAGGAGUCUGGGAGACCCGGUCCAGUGGACAGGGUUUUGGGGUUCCGCUUAGAGUUGCUUCAGUCUAUAGAAAGCUGAGCCGGGCUCUGCCUCUUCUAUCGCAUGACCCCCACCCGGUGGUGGUGUCCCCAAGAGGAGAUCACCCGGAUUCCCCCCACCCCCUUCUACCUCUGCGCAGAGGGAACGCUGCUACUUUCGGAGUUGUACUCCUUGGUCCGGGAUAUUCCUAGACCCUGCGCCUGAGGGGCUGGGAGCGCAGCGCUUUGUUAUUCAGCCGGAAAGAUGCCCCAAGAAUUAAAAGACUUUAUAAAAUGUAGGUUGACUACACCACCUGCACCUGCCUUCAUUGUUGCUCUCUCACAGAAUUUCAGAAAUGCGCUAGGCCUCCUGGUGCAUGCCUAUAAUCCGAAGGCAGGACUCCUGGGGUUUGAGGCCCUGUGACACGUAGAAAGACCUUGUUUCAAGAAAUUUAGAAAUACCAGCAUAUUAAAGACGCCUCCCCCCCCCCAAAAAAAAGACAUAUCCAAAACUAUGGGUCUUUGGGCUUUUGUACGACUCCUAUUAGGAGUUACGAACACGUGUGAAAUUACCUCAGAUAGGGGACCAAAAACAAACGAAACAACAUUGCUCCUAAAUCCAACUUGUUGAGCAAAUAAGUAAAUUACAGUCUGGGAACUGAUACUCUCAGAAGAGGGGGGAAAAUCACAUCUAUAUUAAAGAUUUUGCAAUACCAA
rnacentral:lncRNA from 1 species